UCUUCAAAAGUUUCACUGACAUGAACCUCACUUGUGGGUGCCAGGUUAUGACCACAUGCAUAGUUUCAUCUUCAUCUUAUGCAACAUUUGGGGUAAAAGGAAGGUUAUGUGGUAACCAGUUUAUGACUUGAACUAUAGGCAAAGAUUGACCAGACCAAGCCCUGAGACACAGUGUUGAGAGCCAAGACAUAAAGUUGUGAAGAUUCAGACCCAGAGCCCAGCAGGGUACAGGCUGGAGGGGUGAUGUGAGUGAUCAGUAACACCAUGAAGACUCUGCUCCUGGGUCAGGAAUGCUUUUUUGUCCCUGUUUUGGAUUUUCCACCAUGAACAGUUCACAGGGAAUUGGAAAUCCUUGUCUUCGUGGUUCCUGGCUCAGCAGGACCCCUGUGGGGCCUCUCCCUCUCUUGGGAAAGAGACUGCUCUAGAAGGUUUACUACACCAGUGAGGAGAAGAUGAGCGCAAGGGGGAUUGGCUGGCUGAGGGCGAAAUCAAGACUGGAGCCAAGUGCGCUGAGCUCUCACAUGAGGUCCUUUGCUCCUGUUCCCUGGAGGC
rnacentral:lncRNA from 1 species